GGCUGGGCCAUAGGACAAGGCCUGGUGACUGAUGAAUGAGGAAACUAGGUGGGGCCUCUGGAGAAUGAUGGAGGGCACGGUGGCUGGCGAGCAAUUCCACCCUGGAAUUAGGUGAAUCUGCGGGCUCCCUCUAGCCCAGUCUCCCUCCCCUCCCCAGCCUUCCCCUCCUCUCCUCCCAGGAAUGCUGCCAAUGCUAGGGAUAUGCCGAGGCCUGCUCUUCUCCUAAAUGAAGUCUCCGCUGCCGGCAUUAGCUUACUUUCUGCAGAAAGCAAAUUAAAGGGGCUGCUGAGGAAGGUCUCCUGCCCCACCCACAACUCCCCCAGCCGCUGAGGAGCCCCCAGCAGAGCUGGGGUUGAAGAGGCAGCUUGUCCCCCGACCUUCAGGAAUGGCAGCCUGCAGCAACUGGAACAAGGCCCCACCGUAAAGCUCUGUGUGUCCCAGGGUCUUCCUGUCACCCAGGCUGGAGUACAGUAGCGUGAUCACAGCUCACUGCAGCCUUGACCUCCC
rnacentral:lncRNA from 10 species